AAACCAACAGGGAUUGCCUCAGUAACGGCGAGUGAAGCGGCAAAAGCUCAAAUUUGAAAUCUAGCACUUUCAGUGUUCGAGUUGUAAUUUGAAGAAGGUAACUUUGGUUUUGGCUCUUGUCUAUGUUCCUUGGAACAGGACGUCACAGAGGGUGAGAAUCCCGUGCGAUGAGAUGCCCAAU
rnacentral:rRNA from 1 species